GAUCCUGGCUCAGGAUGAACGCUAGCGACAGGCUUAACACAUGUAAGUCGAGGGGCAGCAUAGAAGUAGCAAUACUUGGUGGCGACCGGCGCACGGGUGAGUAACGCGUAUGCAACCUACCUAUCAGAGGGGAAUAACCCGGCGAAAGUCGGACUAAUACCGCAUAAAACAGGGGCACCGCAUGGUGAUAUUUGUUAAAGAAAUUCGCUGAUAGAUGGGCAUGCGUUCCAUUAGGUAGUUGGUGAGGUAACGGCUCACCAAGCCGACGAUGGAUAGGGGAACUGAGAGGUUGGUCCCCCACACUGGUACUGAGACACGGACCAGACUCCUACGGGAGGCAGCAGUGAGGAAUAUUGGUCAAUGGGCGGGAGCCCGAACCAGCCAAGUCCGCGUGAAGGAAGAAGGAUCUAUGGUUCGUAAACUUCUUUUGCAGGGGAAUAAAGUGCGGGACGUGUCCUGUUUUGUAUGUACCCUGAGAAUAAGGAUCGGCUAACUCCGUGCCAGCAGCCGC
rnacentral:rRNA from 1 species